AUCAGCCACACUGGAACUGAGACACGGUCCAGACUCCUACGGGAGGCAGCAGUGGGGAAUAUUGGACAAUGGGCGCAAGCCUGAUCCAGCAAUGCCGCGUGAGUGAAGAAGGCCUUAGGGUUGUAAAACUCUUUUAGUGGGGAGGAGAUUGACGGUACCCACAGAAAAAGCACCGGCUAACUUCGUGCCAGCAGCCGCGGUAAUACGAAGGGUGCUAGCGUUACUCGGAAUUACUGGGCGUAAAGAGCGCGUAGGCGGCUUGAUAAGUUGGAAGUGAAAUCCCGGAGCUCAACUCUGGAAUUGCUUUCAAAACUAUUUGGCUAGAGAUUGGUAGGGGACAGUGGAAUUCCUAGUGUAGAGGUGAAAUUCGUAGAUAUUAGGAGGAACACCGGUGGCGAAGGCGACUGUCUGGGCCAAAUCUGACGCUGUGGCGCGAAAGCGUGGGGAGCAAACAGGAUUAGAUACCCUGGUAGUCCACGCUGUAAACGAUGAGUGCUAGAUAUCGGGAGAUUGCUCUCGGUGUCGUAGCUAACGUGUUAAGCACUCCGCCUGGGGAGUACGGUCGCAAGAUUAAAACUCAAAGGAAUUGACGGGGACCCGCACAAGUGGUGGAGCAUGCGGUUUAAUUCGAUGCUACGCGAGAAACCUUACCAGCCCUUGACAUACCGGUCGCGGGGAUAAGAGAUUAUCUCCUUCAGUUCGGCUGGACCGGAUACAGGUGUUGCAUGGCUGUCGUCAGCUCGUGUCGUGAGAUGUUGGGUUAAGUCCCGCAACGAGCGCAACCCUCGCACUUAUUUGCCAACGAGUAAUGUCGGGAACUAUAAGUGUACUGCUCGUGAUAAACGAGAGGAAGGUGGGGAUGAUGUCAAGUCAUCAUGGCCCUUACGGGCUGGGCUACACGCGUGCUACAAUGGCGGUGACAAAGAGAUGCAAUAUGGCGACAUGGAGCAAAUCUUCAAAAGCCGUCUCAGUUCGGAUUGCACUCUGCAACUCGAGUGCAUGAAGUCGGAAUCACUAGUAAUCGUGGAUCAGAAUGCCACGGUGAAUACGUUCUCGGGUCUUGUACACACUGCCCGUCACGCCAUGGGAGUUGGUUUUACUCGAAGUCGGUGGGCUAACCUUUUAGGAGGCAGCCGACCACAGUAGGAUCAGUGACUGGGGUGAAGUCGUAACAAGGUAGCCGUAGGGGAACCUGCGGCUGGAUUACCUCCUUU
rfam:Alphaproteobacteria bacterium 33-17 scnpilot_expt_750_p_scaffold_1038, whole genome shotgun sequence.